ACUGGGAAACUUGAGUGCAGAAGAGGACAGUGGAACUCCAUGUGUAGCGGUGAAAUGCGUAGAUAUAUGGAAGAACACCAGUGGCGAAGGCGGCUGUCUGGUCUGUAACUGACGCUGAGGCUCGAAAGCAUGGGUAGCGAACAGGAUUAGAUACCCUGGUAGUCCAUGCCGUAAACGAUGAAUGCUAGGUGUUGGAGGGUUUCCGCCCUUCAGUGCCGCAGCUAACGCAUUAAGCAUUCCGCCUGGGGAGUACGACCGCAAGGUUGAAACUCAAAGGAAUUGACGGGGGCCCGCACAAGCGGUGGAGCAUGUGGUUUAAUUCGAAGCAACGCGAAGAACCUUACCAGGUCUUGACAUCUUUUGAUCACCUGAGAGAUCAGGUUUCCCCUUCGGGGGCAAAAUGACAGGUGGUGUAUGGUUGUCGUCAGCUCGUGUCGUGAGAUGUUGGGUUAAGUCCCGCAACGAGCGCAACCCUUAUGACUAGUUGCCAGCAUUUAGUUGGGCACUCUAGUAAGACUGCCGGUGACAAACCGGAGGAAGGUGGGGAUGACGUCAAAUCAUCAUGCCCCUUAUGACCUGGGCUACACACGUGCUACAAUGGAUGGUACAACGAGUUGCGAGACCGCGAGGUCAAGCUAAUCUCUUAAAGCCAUUCUCAGUUCGGACUGUAGGCUGCAACUCGCCUACACGAAGUAGGAAUUGAUAGUAAUUGAGGAUUAGCACGAAGCGGUGAAUAAGUUCCCGGGCGUU
rnacentral:rRNA from 1 species